GAUGGCUCAGUAGGUACAGCAUGAGACUUUUAAUCUCAGGGUUGUGGGUUGGAGUCCCACGUUGCA